rnacentral:snRNA from 1 species
GUGCUCACUUGGACAGCACAUAUACUAAAACUGGAACACUAGAGAGAAGAUUAGCAUGACCCCCUAGGCAAAGAUGACAUGCAAAUUUGUGAAGUAGUUCAUAUUUUU